AAGUUUGUUAGUGCUUUAUUCCCCAAAAUUGAGCCUAUAUAUAUAUAUAUAUAUAUAUAAAUAUUUCAAUUUAAGUAUUUGCUGUGUGUUUUCCCACAUCUUAAUAGAAGGUAUUAGUCAUGUCACAGCUUUCCUAUGCUGCUCUUUGCUGUAGAGUCUCUAUGUGGCAUAGCCUUGAAUGGGUUUGUACUCAUAUCCCACUGAAAUAAAGAACUAUUGUUAUCCCAUUUUAGGCGAGACCGAGGCAUGGAGACGUGACUGUGCAAGGUCACACAGCAAGGCUAUGGCAGAACCAGGGAUAGGACUCAGAUCUGAGUGCUCAUCCAGUGCCCUAAAUCACACGACCAUCUUUCCUUUCCAAGAAUGAAUCCUUGCACCCUUAGAGAUAAAUACUGAAAAGAUUGAGGCUGCAUUUUUGAGGAGGGAGAGCGAGAUGGCUAGGCUUGCAGUAACACGUUGUGUCGUCAUAAAUGCUACAGCCACCAUCUGUUUCCAGCCCACGACUUGAAAGAAAACUGAGCAGUAAUCUCGUAAUUCACAUGAGCGUUUUACACUUGUGAACCCUUCCCAACCUUUGUCUAGUAACGAGGGGAGUGCAUGGUGCUAAGCAAAACCAAGGGCUGCUGUUUCUGUGGACCUCCUUUCGUCUUGGACCCAAUUUGCACUCCUGCUCCUAGCACAGCCCAACGGCUGCGUAACUCCUGCACUCCUCUGGCCUUAGGAACGACGACUUCCAUCAUCUCAACGAGACUGCAGAGCAGUUUAAGGAUGAAACGGCUUCUCAUUUCAUAUACCCCACUGCUGCUAGAACUGUAAAUCUUUGUUGGACUGGGUUUAUAGCAAGCUGCUGCUGCAAGCAAGUGAAAUGCAUUUUCUGUUGUCAUAUGUACGGUCAAACUGUUCAAAAAGUUGCCAAACACAGAACUGAGCUCCUGAUGGAAAACCAAUUCAAUCUCUUUACAUUUUGUUGAAAAAUAAUAAAUAACUCUUCAAGCCAAUGGGUCA
rnacentral:lncRNA from 1 species